CAGCCACUCAUUCAAAGAGUGCGUAAUAGCUCACUGGUCGAGUGAUCCUGCGCCGAAGAUUUCCGGGGCUAAAACUUACUACCGAAGCUACGGCAUCAGUAAUGAUGGGUAGGGGAGCUUCCCAUACGGGUUGAAGCAUGACCGUAAGGACAUGUGGACAGUAUGGGAGUGAGAAUGUUGGCAUGAGUAGCGAGAUGUGGGUGAGAAUCCCACAGGCCGUAAACCCAAGGUUUCCAGGGGAAGGUUCGUCCGCCCUGGGUUAGUCGGGACCUAAGCUGAGGCCGAAAGGCGUAGGUGAUGGACAACAGGUUGAUAUUCCUGUACUACCGAUAACCGUUUGAGAGAAGGGAUGACACAGUAGGAUAAGCUAAGCACACUGUUGGUUAUGUGUGCCCAAGCAUUGAGGCAGUCAAAGUAGGCAAAUCCGCUUUGAUAAUGCUGGGAUGUGAUGGGGAGCGAAAUUUAGUAGCGAAGUAGCUGAUUUCACACUGUCAAGAAAAGUCUCUAUCGAGGUUAAAGGUACCCGUACCGCAAACCGACACAGGUGGGUGAGGAGAGUAUCCUAAGGCCAGCGAGAGAACUGUUGUUAAGGAACUCGGCAAAAUGACCCCGUAACUUAGGGAUAAGGGGUGCCACCAUCAGGUGGCCGCAGAGAAUAGGCCCAAGCGACUGUUUACCAAAAACAUAGGUUUCUGCUAAGUCGCAAGACGAUGUAUAGGAGCUGACGCCUGCCCGGUGCUGGAAGGUUAAGGGGAUCUGUUAGAGCAAUCGAAGCAGUGAACUUAAGCCCCAGUAAACGGCGGCCGUAACUAUAACGGUCCUAAGGUAGCGAAAUUCCUUGUCGGGUAAGUUCCGACCCGCACGAAAGGCGUAACGAUUUGGGCACUGUCUCAACAACAGACUCGGUGAAAUUGUAAUUCCGGUGAAGAUGCCGGAUACCUGCGACAGGACGGAAAGACCCCAUGGAGCUUUACUGUAGCUUGACAUUGGGUCUUGGUACUACAUGUACAGGAUAGGUGGGAGGCUUUGAAACCAGGACGCCAGUUUUGGCGGAGCCAUCCUUGGGAUACCACCCUUGUAGUACUGGGACUCUAACCAUAGGCCAUGAAUCUGGUCUUGGGACACUGUCAGGUGGGCAGUUUGACUGGGGCGGUCGCCUCCCAAAAGG
rnacentral:rRNA from 1 species